ACAAUAACAUUCGGGCUGUCGAUCUACCGAGCAAUUUCACCCGCUAGGUGGAAGAUCUUCCCUUUGUCGUAUACA
rnacentral:pre_miRNA from 1 species